UACGAAGGGGGCUAGCGUUGCUCGGAAUCACUGGGCGUAAAGGGUGCGUAGGCGGGUCUUUUAAGUCAGGGGUGAAAUCCUGGAGCUCAACUCCAGAACUGCCUUUGAUACUGAAGAUCUUGAGUUCGGGAGAGGUGAGUGGAACUGCGAGUGUAGAGGUGAAAUCGUAGAUAUUCGCAAGAACACCAGUGGCGAAGGCGGCUCACUGGCCCGAUACUGACGCUGAGGCACGAAAGCGUGGGGAGCAAACAGG
rnacentral:rRNA from 1 species